GCCCAUACGCGUUAGGCCCCGCCCAUGCCCCUCUGAGCCCUGCCCCAGUACGCCAGGCCCCCCUCCCAACGACGCAGCCCGGUUCUGCAGCCGGUGAAGAAACGCGGCUGGCCCAAGGGCAAGAAGCGGAAGAAGAUUCUGCCGAAUGGGCCCAAGGCACCGGUCACGGGCUACGUGCGCUUCCUGAACGAGCGGCGCGAGCAGAUCCGCACGCGCCACCCGGAUCUGCCCUUUCCCGAGAUCACCAAGAUGCUGGGCGCCGAGUGGAGCAAGCUGCAGCCAACGGAAAAGCAGCGGUACCUGGAUGAGGCCGAGAGAGAGAAGCAGCAGUACAUGAAGGAGCUGCGGGCGUACCAGCAGUCUGAAGCCUAUAAGAUGUGCACGGAGAAGAUCCAGGAGAAGAAGAUCAAGAAAGGUGGGAGGGGUCGGGCGCGGUGGCUCACGCCUGUCAUCCCAGCACUUUGGGAGGCCGAGGCGGGUGUAUCACCUGAGGUCAGACCAGCCUGGCCAACAUAGUGAAACCCUCCCCCUCUACUAAAAAUACAAAAAUUACCUGGGCAUGGUGGCGGGUGCCUGUAAUCCCAGCUACUCGGGAGGCUGAGGCAGGAGAAUUGCUUGAACCCGGGAGGUGGAGGUUGCAGUAAGCCAAGAUUGCACCAUUGCACUCUAGCCGGGGCGACAGGGCGAGACUCCGUCUCAAAAAAAAAAAAA
rnacentral:sRNA from 1 species